UCGAUACGGCCCAGUAUGGUGGUAAUGUCAAUUGCGCAGACCCUAAUAAUGAUUAGGCAAAAAAAAAACCAAAUCUGAUCUUCUUCUUCUAUGCGGCGGUGAUGCGGAUCUUCUGCAAUUCUUCAUUGGAUCUGAAACGGUUUAUUAAUGGCUGUGUGGUAAAUCGCAUUGAUCAUCCCUCCAUGAUUCAUCUUCAAUGUUUUGUGAAAAGCGGUCUCUAAACAGUAUAAAUAGAGGUCUGGCUGCUCAGAUUCUAGGACCCCAGAAACGUUAGACGCGGUGGCGAGUUGAUGAUGGGUGUCUACAUGCUCUUUGUCGAUUCUCAGAUGUGUUUCAGGCGACUUCCAUUCCAGCCACCAAUGAAAAGGAGGUAGCACUCAAGAUUCAAGAGGCAGAUGGUUCAUGGUAUUGAAGUUGGGUAGUUUGCUACACGUAUGCAACGUGGUUUUCUCUUGGAGGCUUGGCACGAACUGGUAAAACAUAUGAAAACUAUUUGGUUAUGCGUGAAGGUGUUGACUUCCUUCGAGAAACUAAACAACAAUGGAGGUUGGGAAGAAAGAGAUAUAUAGAAUUAGGAGGAAGAUCAAACCUGGUCCAAACAUAUGUUACAUAUCCCAUUUCUCAACAUUUUCCUUAAAAAGGUAUAUUGUGUUUAAGUAG